GGGAAACUGAGGACUGAGAAGAAGAGAUUUGCUUGGGGUCUUACAAAUGGUGCUAGAAGUGAUUCAUCAGCCUCUUUUGAGACAGAGUCUCUCAGUGGGACUCUAACCUUGUGGGUUGGAACAUAAGGAUUGGGGGAUGAGCAGUCUGUGGGACAGGCACUAGCUUGGGAUUUCUAGGAGGCCAGAGCUGAAACUCAAACCUUUCAUCCAGCUCGGAGUGCUUCAUUCUACUUAGGAAAAAAUGGUCCUUCUCAGGAUAUUUUACUCCAUCUGCCUGAAAAGUGAGUUAAUAAUUAUGCAAAUUUUGGUGAUUUCGGUGAUGGUGAGGGGACUAGAAUUGUGCAGUGCACAAUACACACAACUGCUAGUGGCUACCCAGCCCUGAAACAGAGGGCGGGUUGUGGCAACUCUGUCCACUUCUCUAUCCCUUCCUUCUCUUCCUUCUGUCCUACAGAGCCAGGGACAAGGGAUAAGAGAGGGAAGGGAGGAGGAAGGCAGUUAGAGAGGGGAAGGAAAGGGUAGGAUUAUUUCUGCACACAUAAACCGAAACCAAAAGUGGAGGCAGGGGUGCUGUGGAAGGCAGACCUGCAGCAAGAUUGGGGGCAGGGUCCUUGCACCUGAUCUCAAGCGCCCUGCUGCAACCUGGGUGCUGCCUGGACCAGUUUGCCCUUCAUGCUGACAAGAAGUGUGUAAGAUGGGUCUGUUUCUAGGAGGAUUCUCAGGCCCCUCCAGCCCUCGCAAAGCCCAGCUCUGGGGUUUGGAAAGGGAAGGAGGGCUCACUUGCUCAGGCUGCCUAGCUCCCUCUGGCCUGAGAGAGGGUGACUCUCUGCCUUGGUGGCUCAAGUGUCGGUGUAGACAUGCAUACACCCACAAGGAUGGGGACAGCUGGCAUCUGUGAGGUCCCUAUUUCCCCAAGUUAUACUUUGGAUAUGUGGUGGAAUGAGAAUUUUUGUGACCUGAGGUCAUUUAGGUGUCAAAAUGUUGGAUUCUUGGAGGCAUUGAUACAUACUCUCUUUUUUUUUUAAUAUAUUUUUGGUUGUAGAUGGACAUAUAACUUUAUUUAUUUAUUCGAUUUUAUGUGGUGCUGAGGAUCAAACCCAGUGCCUCAUACAUGGGAGGCAAGCGCUCCACCACUGAGUUUUAGCCCCAGCCCCGCUGAUUCAUUGUCUCCCUCUCUCUCUUUUUGAUACUAGGAAUUGAACUGAGGGGGCACUCGACCACCGAGCCACAUCCCCAGCCCUAUUUUGUAUUUUAUUUAGAGACUGGGUCUCACUGAGUUGCUCAGCACCUUGCUUUUGCUGAGGCUGGCUUUGAACUCACGAUCCUCCCGUCUCAGCCUCCAGAGCCACUGGGAUUACAGGCAUGCGCCACCGCACCCAGCUCCCACUGAUCCACUGAUAUGAAACAGAAUGUUUGAAGCUUGUUUAAGGUUACCAUUUCUGUGACAUUUCUAUCAAAUGGACCAGUUGUAAACCCAGAUGCCAGCCCUCCCUGGAUGCUUCCUGGGUCUUCUAUGUAGGAGGGGUGCCUAUCCGGGUGCUGUGGCUCCUAGCUCCAGACUGGCCGCCCUUUAAGGCAGAAGACUACAUUUAAUUCACCAUGUCAUCCAUGGCAACAGGAGGCCUUCCUCCCCUCAGGGAUUCUCAGAGAGUGUAAGCUCCAUUUACCCUUCCCAGCUGACACCACCUGUGAGGGUGGAAAGGGCCAGGAAGAAUGGCACAGGGGGGAUGGCCAGAUCGGGGUGCAGGGAACCAGGCUCUACCAUUUCCCAACCCUGUGGCCUGAGGCAAGUGAUAUUUCUCUCUGAGUCUCAGUUUCAUCUGUAAAUGGGAAUGAGUUAAAUAGCUGAGCAUGUACUCUGGGGUAGGCACCGAAUAAAGCUUAUUACUUCCAGUUAUUUAUGCAGAAAGUACUUAGACCUCCAUCAUGCUAGGGACACAAGGGCAGGUAAGGACGUUCCGCCUGGAGAAGUGAGGUGACUGGCUAACAUCACAUGCAGGUGAGUGGCACAGCUUCCACCCAGAGCCACUUUUAAUACAGGCCUCUGUAUGGGAAAGGGCUCGGCAGAGCACUGUUAUCAAUGGAGGCCAGGCCUCGCCAGCCUGGAAGGCCUUGUGGCCUGAGUUCAGGGUCUCAGGCAAUGGGAAUCCAGCCAGAGGGCCCCACACAGGAUGCCACGGGAGGAGGCCUCCCAACCCAGGAUUCUGAAAGACCAUGUCCAACAGGAGGGAAAAGGGCUGCCAAGGACUCCGAGGAAGGGGCUGGGCCACCCCUGAGGAGGUUCUUCACUCAAGGCCUCAUCUGCCCCCACACAGGCCUGGAGCCUACAGGGAAACCAGCCAAGCAAGUGGUGGAAGAGGAAACCUGUCACAUUCAGGGCUGCUUGACCCUCAGCUCCAGCUGAAGGGCAGGGGUCUGGGAGUGCCCUGAAAGCAGGACACUGAUACAGGAACAGUCAGCCUGCUGGGUGCCUCUGAGGAUCGGGUAUCAUUUCCGUUCCCAGUGCCUCAGGGGCUGAGUCCUCUCUUCCACCCCAGACCAGGGACCAGAAGGCAGCCAGCUGCAGGCAAAGGGGUCUGUGACUUAAAUGAGGACCCUUCCUGGCAGACGCUAGCAGACCCAUAGUUCUGCCAGAGGAGAUGUGUACAGCCUUGGGGACUGCACAUGUGCCCCUCCCCAGACCCCCAUAUACACUGAGGGACAGGGAAUUAGGGUCAGGCUGGGUGGAUAUAGGGAUUCCACCCAAAGCGUAAAAGCCUUGCUAAAUACAACAGACCAUGAACAAUGAAGCCACCCUCAUCACCUUCCUCCUACACGCCACAGCAAAUCCUGCUGGUUCCACCUCUACACCAGCCUCUUCUGAUGCUUCCCACAGCCUCUGAGCCUUUUCUAUCUUUCCUGGGAUGAUGCAGCACCCCCUUCACCAGCUUCCCUGUUUCUACCCUUGUCCCCAUGGUCUGUUCUCAACCCAGCAGCCAGAGUGACACUGUUAAAGGUCAUGUCACCACUUAGUUCAGAGCUCUUUAGUCCUCCUCACUCUGGCAAAAGCUGAGUCCCCACCUCCAAACGCUCUCCUCUUUGCUGCUAUUUCAACAUCUCCAUCCCUCUGUUUGCACCAGCUCAGCUUUCUUUUUGUGUGUGUGGGGAGGCAGGGAGGCUGGGAUUGAACCUGGGGUCUUGCCCUUGCUAGACAAGAGCUCUGCAGCUGAGCUACCUACCCAGUCCUUUGUACCAGGGACUGAACCCACGAGCACUUAACCACUGAACCACAUCCCUAGCCCAUUUUUAUUUUUUAUUUCGAGACGGGGUCUCACUAAAUUGCUGAGGCUGACUUUGAACUUGUGAUCCUCCUGCCUCAGCCUCCAGAGCCACUGGGAUUACAGGCGUUUGUCACUGCGUCUGCUUUCCUUUGGUUUCCUUGCUUUUCUUCCAAUAGGUCAGGCACACCCCCCACCUCCAGCCUUUGUGCUGGCAGUUUCCUCUGCCUAGAACAUUCUGCCCAUAGCUAUGACCCUACUGCCUUGCAGCCUGCUCAAAUGUCACUGUGCUUCUCAGCAUUCAACAGAGCACAGCACUCAAAUUAAGUUUAUUCAAGGAUGACUUACAGAUGUGAAAUAUGGAUAAGGAAGCCCCGAGGGACAGUGCAGUGCCAGAGCCCUGAGCUACGGUAGGCUUUGCUAUUCCCAAAUUUGGCCGGAUGUAGCUGCUGCGAUUAGGAAGGAGAGAAUGGUGGGAGUGGAGCACCUGCCAGGAGCCAUGACUCUGUAGGGAGGCGACAGGGAUGAACCCCACCCCUAGCUCAGCCCUCCCCUUUGGCUGAACCCAGCCAGAGCCAGGAUACCAGCCUUCAGGCCAGCUUUCCCUAGGGGUCUGAGGCCAAGUGGAAGUCCCCCAGCAUGGUCACCCUGGGGAAUGAGACCACUUCCUACCCCAACUCCCAAUUCUCCCUCCUUGGCCUAUUUUUCCCCAUAGCACUUGUCUCCCAAUAUAUCUACAUAUUUAUUUUGAUAAUUUUUAUAGCUUAUGUCUGUAAGCUCCAGGAGGGUAGGAAGUUUGUUCUUUUUAAUUCUCUGCUGCAAUCCUUUGAGCUUAGAACACUGACUAGCAUACAGUAAGCACUCAAUAAAUAAUGGCUGGAUAAGUGAAUGCCCACUUGGUCUUCCUGGUAUCCUGGGAAAGCCUUUGGGGCCCACGUGAGCCCCUGCCUGGGGAAGCAGGGCCGAUGCUGCAGUCUGGGGCUCCAGGAUUGGAAAGGAGCCCGCAGAGCUUGGGCUGGGCAGGAAGGCGGGCCUGCAGGACUGUGCCCACAGCAGCCUCCUGUUCCUGUGGUUCUGCAGCAGGUCCCUGCCUCUCCCCAACACUGUGACUUUGAGACCAGUAGGAUUUGCCUCAAAGGCGUCACUGUGCUUGGUCUCUGCAACAAGGUGUGGCUCUGGGAAAUCUCCUACUCAUGAAUCAGCUCUUUGAGGGCACAUCUGGCUCCUCUCCUGGGCCUCCAAGGACUGCUUGCAUGAGGGAGUCCCGCAGCGCGAGGCCAGGAGCUUGGGGUUGUGUUCUAGGCUCUCUGGAAUGCCAGGGGUGCAUUCUUAGGUGCUAGCACCCUGGGGCCUCCUUGGGAAGGCCUGGCCAACCCUCACUAAGCCUCUAUGUCCUCUGGGAAAAAAGAUUCCCUAUGACCCCUUCAGUCAUAGGCUGGGCAUUUUCUCUACUGGAUCUAUAUACUGAGAGUGAUUCUGAUCCAAACACAGAUAGGAUUUGGGGAAGAAGCCUUAGAAAAAUGAACAUUCAUCUGGAAAAAUGAACAUUUGAGACUAGCAUGAAAAUUCUGAAAGAGGAAAGGGAGGUAUCUUCCAAAAUAAAGAAGCCGUAGAGUACAAGACUGAUAAUUUGAACAUGUAAAAAUGAAAAACCUGAAUCAAAAAGGUUAUCAAAGAACAAAGUCGGAACUGGGUGUAGUGAUGUUCCUGUAAUCCCAGCAACUCAGGAGGCUGAGGCAGGAGGUUUGAAAGUUUGAGGCCAGCCUGGGCAACUUAGUGAGACCUUAUCUCAAAAAAAUAAAAUAAGGGGCUGGGGAUGUGGCUCAAGCGGUAGCACGCUUGCCUGGCAUGCGUGCGGCCCGGGUUUGAUCCUCAGCACCGCAUACAAACAAACAAACAAAAAAAAAAAGAUGUUGUGUCCGCCGAAAACUAAAAAAUAAAUAUUAAAAAUUCUCAUUCUCUCUCUCUCUCUCUUUAAAAAAUAAAAUAAAAAAUAAAAGGGCUGGCUAUGUAGCUCAGUUUUAAAGCCCCUUUAGGAUCAAUCCCCGGUACAUCUCCCUAAAUAAAUUAAUAAAUAAAUACCAUACAUACAUGACCACUACAAAAAACUAUUUGCAAUCAUUAUAAGAUAAAGGGGUACUCUUUAAGUAAUAUUUGAAAAAAGGGCAACCAAAUUCAAAUGCAGUCCAAGAAUGUUAGCAGAAAAUUCAUAAGAAAAGAAAAAUUUUAAACAGUAAAUACAUGAAAAGAUGCUCACUUGCACUCAUCAUUAAAGAAACAUAAAGCAAAUGCUGAGGAUGUAGCUCAAUGGUAGAGUGCUUGGCUAGCAUGCAUGAGGCCCUGAAUUUAAUUUUCAGUGCCUAAAAAAAAGUCUAACAACAAAAUAACAAAGAAAUCCCAUUUCAACUGCCAGACUGGAACUAAUUCUUUAGUCAAAGUGAAAAUAACAGUAUUUGGAAUAGUAUCCACAUUUAAAUUUACCCUUUGACUAAAGAAUUGAGACUUCUACAAAUCUAACCUAUGGAAAUACUUGCACAGUGCACAAAAACUUCCAUGCUGAAAAAGUGCAACACAGCUCUGCUCACAAACAGCACGAAACUAGAAAUAAUCCACGUUAUGUGAAUCUGCAAUUUGUAUACAGGGUAAAAAUGGGAGUUCAUAAUCCGUGUAUGAAAU
rnacentral:lncRNA from 1 species